AGAGAUCAGGGAGUUGGGUCCCAGACAGUUGAGCAAUCGAGAGUUUCAGUGGUUCCAACAGAGGGCACCAGUGGUGCAAAGCAAAAGGGAGUUGUUGGAAGACCGAGGCAACAGGGAGAAGUCUAUGCUAUGACUCAACAAGAAGCGGAGGACGCACCAGACGUUAUUACUGAGAACAUUUAAGAGAGAGUUUGGAAGAAGAAGAGGAAUUUUACUAGAAUUUUGAGGUUGAAGAAGGGAAGGAGAACUCAAGCAAAGUGUAUCCAUGGCUGAAUCUUGGUUCAUUCUGCACAUUACUGGUUUUUAAUUCGGUUUGAACUCUUCAAAAGGAAUUAAGAGGGCAGUUGGUUUUCACUCGAAAUCAGGAGGUCUCUGGUUUUUCUUGUAUUUCAGAGUGUAUUGGUGAAGUUAGAAUCUCUAUUUGGAACAAGUUAAAGAGAUCGUGUGCGCGCGAUUCUGGAAGUGGUUCUGUUUUGAGGGUUAUAUGUGUUUAUGCACGGGGAAUCAGAUUUAUAUGUCUUCAGGCCGAGAAGAAUUAAACCGAGCUUAUAAACCAAGGAUCUAGCCCAAGACUGUAGAGAUCGACUUCCCGGUGCCUGAUAGACUGCCUUAGUCUGCGGAAGCUUCAUUAUCGAUUGCCAGUACGUGUUUUGAGUUGGGCAUAAAGUCUGUUGUGUUGUGAUGUAUUCACACCCUUGUAUGUUAUAGAUACUCCACAGUUUGUAACGACCCGAACUUUUUAAACUAAGUUAAGGUCAUUACUAAAAAGGUAAACAUCAAAAGACACUUUUU